rnacentral:rRNA from 1 species
GACGAACGCUGGCGGCGUGCUUAACACAUGCAAGUCGAACGGAAAGGCCCUGCUUUUGUGGGGUGCUCGAGUGGCGAACGGGUGAGUAACACGUGAGUAACCUGCCCUUCACUUUGGGAUAACUUCAGGAAACUGGGGCUAAUACCGGAUAGGAUCUCCUGCUGCAUGGUGGGGGUUGGAAAGUUUCGGCGGUUGGGGAUGGACUCGCGGCUUAUCAGCUUGUUGGUGGGGUAGUGGCUUACCAAGGCUUUGACGGGUAGCCGGCCUGAGAGGGUGACCGGCCACAUUGGGACUGAGAUACGGCCCAGACUCCAACGGGAGGCAGCAGUGGGGAAUAUUGCACAAUGGGCGGAAGCCUGAUGCAGCAACGCAGCGUGCGGGAUGACGGCCUUCGGGUUGUAAACCGCUUUCGCCUGUGACGAAGCGUGAGUGACGGUAAUGGGUAAAGAAGCACCGGCUAACUACGUG